rnacentral:lncRNA from 1 species
UAAUGCCAAGUCGCCAUUUACAUAAUGAAGAAGCAUAUUAAUCACUGAUGUAGAGAUAUUCUUACUGCAUUCUAUAAUCACCAAAAAAUUUUGGAGGGUCUACUUUACAAAUGUAGGUAGAUACAUGGCUAACGAAAAAGAAACACACCAAAAAUAAUCAAAAAAAGUACAAUGCUAUCAACAUGGCUAACGAAGAAAAAUAACCAAAUCAGGAAAACAAUGGCAGAAAGAAAUGCACACCAAAAGCAAAAGCAGAAAAAUAAACCAGCGACCACAAGCAUGAGCAUUCAACAACUUUGCAAAUCAAAAAAUCAAAAGCAUACAGGAAUUGCAAGACACAGACCAAAAAAAAACUUCUUUACAGAUCAAGAGGGAAAAAACAGAUCUAACCCAAAAAAAAAUCCACCACCACCAAGUGAAUGAAAAUAAAAAGUCAUAAUUUGUCUCAUAAGACCUGAUGUUCUCUAUGUUGACAGAAAGAUAGAAGCAAAAUUAGAUAAAUAAGAUUAAUGGACUACAUAAGUUUCCAAUUUUUAAAGAAUAUUGUAGGAGGACAAAACUUCUUUCUUCUUGUAACUAAAUCACAAAGAUACUUACAGAACGAAAAGCUUCAAAGUAAAAUAAAGAAAAGCAAAACCCAAAAAAUACAAAAAACAGAACAUAAAAGAUGUUUGCUCCAAGGAAUGAAACUUCAAGCAUCAUUUGCACUUGGUAUGAAAAAUUGUUAUUCUAAUCUUUACAAAUUGUAGCCUCACAUAUGAUCUGAUGCAAAACUUAUUCUUUCCAAAAUUGACUUAUGAUCUGAAUGUAAAACUUAUUACUCUAAAUAUGAUCUGAAUGCAAAACUUACAAAUUGUACAGUACAACGGCAUUAGUAAUGCAAUCACAAACUGAUUAGUAAAAGGCAUUACAGAAAGGAAAAAAAUUUCCAACAGCACCGACGAAAAAGUAUCAUAAGCCUGAUAACAACUCAAAAAAAUGAGCAAACACGACACAAGAAAAAGGUGCAAUAGCUGCAACACAAACAAAAAACUUUUAAUGGAAAACAACCACCAAAGAAAUCACAAACCAGUUUCCUAAAAGCAAUGAAAAAAAUGCUUGCACAACAAAAUACGACAACCAUUAGUAUCAAACAAGUUUUUACAGAGGAGGAGAAAAACAGGAAUGCAGAGCAAAUCUAAGGUAGGAAGACAAAAUAUGUAUUCUAGCAGGAAAUCCAAGUCCCGGGGAUUUCUUUAUUUUUUUUUGCCUUUUUAGGGUGGAAUCCUAGAACUAAAAAUAACCCAAAUAGCACAUGAAACAAGCACAAAAAAGCUUAAAAGAAAGGAAAACAAAAAAAAAAUCUAGGAGGGAAAAAAUGCCAUAGCAGAAAGGAUUUUACCGGGUAAAAAUAAAAAAAAAAUUCCAAGGGGUAAAAAUCAAUACAAACAGCCAUGAAACAAGCACAAAGAACAGCUGAGAAGUGUAAAAAACAGCAACACCACAAUUGCUCAAACAUGGAAGGAAAAUAAACAAAAAUAGAGAGAAAAUAACAAAAUAAUGAAGGUAGUACCUUAAUGGAUAGAAGAUGCUUCAGUGCUUGUAGUUCUUUCUCAGACGAAAAAUAAGAGUGCAUAAAUUGAAAGCUCCACAGAUCUACACUCUAGUUGCAUUCUAGAUAAAACAAGACAAAACAUCAAUGUAACCAAAGUUUUAAUAGAAAAGAAAGCGAAAAAAAAUCACCAAUGAAGGGAAAGUAGCGGAAAAACCAAGGUAGUACCUGAAACAAUAGAGAGGAAGCAGCAGUUGACGCUUCACUUCUAGUUCUAUCUGAGACUGAAAAAUAAGUCAAGAAAUCAAAAGCAAGACAAAAAACAGCAGUCUCCCAACCAAGGAGCCAAGAAACGGAAAAAAAAAGAUCAGUGGAAAAGACCACCGUGGAGUUACAUAUUUUGUGUAUGGCCGACUAUGGUAGCCGCGAUUUCGUUUACCAGGUUUGAAGCUACAAAUAAUUUUUGAAAAGAAAUAUGCAGCUCUCAUGGUAUCAGCCGAUCAAUCGGGCAAAAAAAAUUAAAGAAAAAAGAAAAACAAUAAAAAGGUGAAAGUAAUAUUUAAGAAUGAAAUCAAAGAAUGAGAAGGAAAGAAGGAGGAGAGAUAAUAAAGAUUUUGAGAGCAACAAGCAGAGGGAAAGAUCUGACCAAUGAGCGGCGGUGAGAAGAAGAGGAGAAGGGAGGAGAAAACAGCUUCAAUCCAUCUACAAUAGGAGAAAAGAAAGAAGAGAGGAAGACGAGAUAGAAAAGAAGAAAAGACAAAUGCAGGAGAAAGGAGAAGAGAAAACAAAGUCGAGGAGACGGAGCUUCUGAGAAUAGGGUGAGGCAAAGCGGCGGCGGCGGAGGAAUUUAAGAAACCCUAGAGAGGAAGUAUAUGCAGGACUUCUGGCGCAUAGCGCGGGAAAAAAAUGGCUGGUAACUCACAUGUGCGGCACGUGAGAGGACGACGAAAACCAUCCACGUCAGAAGAGCUCUUCGGCUCUUAUUCUACUUAUGUUGAAAAGACCACCGUGGAGUUACAUAUUUUGUGUAUGGCCGACUAUGGUAGCCGCGAUUUCGUUUACCAGGUUUGAAGCUACAAAUAAUUUUUGAAAAGAAAUAUGCAGCUCUCAUGGUAUCAGCCGAUCAAUCGGGCAAAAAAAAUUAAAGAAAAAAGAAAAACAAUAAAAAGGUGAAAGUAAUAUUUAAGAAUGAAAUCAAAGAAUGAGAAGGAAAGAAGGAGGAGAGAUAAUAAAGAUUUUGAGAGCAACAAGCAGAGGGAAAGAUCUGACCAAUGAGCGGCGGUGAGAAGAAGAGGAGAAGGGAGGAGAAAACAGCUUCAAUCCAUCUACAAUAGGAGAAAAGAAAGAAGAGAGGAAGACGAGAUAGAAAAGAAGAAAAGACAAAUG